UGUAACGGGGCUAAACCAUGCACCGAAGCUGCGGCAGCGACACUGUGUGUUGUUGGGUAGGGGAGCGUUCUGUAAGCCUGUGAAGGUGUGUCGUGAGGCAUGCUGGAGGUAUCAGAAGUGCGAAUGCUGACAUAAGUAACGAUAAAGCGGGUGAAAAGCCCGCUCGCCGGAAGACCAAGGGUUCCUGUCCAACGUUAAUCGGGGCAGGGUGAGUCGACCCCUAAGGCGAGGCCGAAAGGCGUAGUCGAUGGGAAACGGGUUAAUAUUCCCGUACUUGGUGUUACUGCGAAGGGGGGACGGAGAAGGCUAUGUUGGCCGGGCGACGGUUGUCCCGGUUUAAGCGUGUAGGUGUGUGUUCCAGGUAAAUCCGGUUCACUUUAACACUGAGGCGUGACGACGAGGCACUACGGUGCUGAAGCAACAAAUGCCCUGCUUCCAGGAAAAGCCUCUAAGCAUCAGGUAACAUCAAAUCGUACCCCAAACCGACACAGGUGGUCAGGUAGAGAAUACCAAGGCGCUUGAGAGAACUCGGGUGAAGGAACUAGGCAAAAUGGUGCCGUAACUUCGGGAGAAGGCACGCUGACACGUAGGUGAAGUGAUUUACUCAUGGAGCUGAAGUCAGUCGAAGAUACCAGCUGGCUGCAACUGUUUAUUAAAAACACAGCACUGUGCAAACACGAAAGUGGACGUAUACGGUGUGACGCCUGCCCGGUGCCGGAAGGUUAAUUGAUGGGGUCAGCGCAAGCGAAGCUCCUGAUCGAAGCCCCGGUAAACGGCGGCCGUAACUAUAACGGUCCUAAGGUAGCGAAAUUCCUUGUCGGGUAAGUUCCGACCUGCACGAAUGGCGUAAUGAUGGCCAGGCUGUCUCCACCCGAGACUCAGUGAAAUUGAACUCGCUGUGAAGAUGCAGUGUACCCGCGGCAAGACGGAAAGACCCCGUGAACCUUUACUAUAGCUUGACACUGAACAUUGAGCCUUGAUGUGUAG
rnacentral:rRNA from 1 species